GACAAGUUUCCUGCGAACAGGAAUGAAUCGAGUAAUGGAAUAGCAAGGCUUUCAGGUUGCUGGCCCGCUUGUCUUACCCUCCUGUGUGCUGCCCCUCCUAGCGCUGGGUCUCCCGAGCAGACCUCCUUCGCUGCAGGCACAGCCAAGAAGUCACAGAGCCAAGCACGGCUCACACUGCACAGCCCAUUGCUCUGGUCCUAGGUCCUGCAGCACCAUUGGUCCCAUCCCUGCUGCUUUACAGGCACAGCAUGUGUCCCAGAGAAAAUUUCCAUCUCCAGGAAAAGUGGAGCCCUUCCUGGCACCCAGGCAGGGGACACUGUGGAUGCUGCACAGAGCAGGAUGGGGGCACGGUGGGGUCCUGUCAGCAUUUUCCCACAGCAGUGCUGUGGGUUGGUUCAGGGCUGCCAUCCCCAGAGCCAGGAAGGCAGCCCUUAGGAUGAAGUCAGAAUGCAUUAUUUCCACCUCUUUGCCACUGCCAAGAAGACUCAAGCUUUUCAUCUUUGCUCUCCGGCAUCCAGCGAGGCCAGGCAUGCUCAGCCUGGGGCAGGAGCUGGGCGGCUGCGGAGGAGCCAGGGUGCUGCGGCCUGUCCCCUCCGGCAGCCAGGCUUAUGGCAUGUCAGCACAGCGCUUCUGAGGGGACAGCUGGCACUUCCAGAGGGGCAGGGGCUCUGCAGGGAACUCAGUGCUCCCCUGGGCCUGCACUGAGCUCUGGGGUGCUGCCAGCUCCCCUGGGCCUGCACUGAGCUCCUGGGUACUGCCCUGGGCCCUGGUCCAGGCUGGGCCAGCCCACAGCAUGGCUGCCCCCUGCUCCUAGGCCAUUCUGCAGCCUCAGGGCCUCACCAGGAGAGGCACAAGGGGCAGCAGCAGCAAUGUGGUGUCAGGAGAUCCUCUCUGUGGCCCCACAGCUCCUGAGGAGCCUUUGCCACCUCCCCCUGGCACAGGAUUGGGGCCGGGCUGGCUGCCUGGGCUGAGCCUUCCUCCCACACCACAUGGCCAGCACCGACUGCCUGUCUAGACGUCAUCCCACACUCAUUAAACAUUCAUUUUCCAUAA